AUACAGAGGGUGCAAGCGUUAAUCGGAUUUACUGGGCGUAAAGCGUGCGUAGGUGGCCAAUUAAGUCAAAUGUGAAAUCCCCGAGCUUAACUUGGGAAUUGCAUUCGAUACUGGUUGGCUAGAGUAUGGGAGAGGAUGGUAGAAUUCCAGGUGUAGCGGUGAAAUGCGUAGAGAUCUGGAGGAAUACCGAUGGCGAAGGCAGCCAUCUGGCCUAAUACUGACACUGAGGUACGAAAGCAUGGGGAGCAAACAGGAUUAGAUACCCUGGUAGUCCAUGCCGUAAACGAUGUCUACUAGCCGUUGGGGUCUUUGAGACUUUAGUGGCGCAGCUAACGCGAUAAGUAGACCGCCUGGGGAGUACGGUCGCAAGACUAAA
rnacentral:rRNA from 1 species